GACGAACGCUGGCGGCGUGCUUAACACAUGCAAGUCGAACGGAAAGGCCCUGCUUUUGUGGGGUGCUCGAGUGGCGAACGGGUGAGUAACACGUGAGUAACCUGCCCUUGACUUUGGGAUAACUUCAGGAAACUGGGGCUAAUACCGGCUAGGAGCUCCUGCUGCAUGGUGGGGGUUGGAAAGUUUCGGCGGUUGGGGAUGGACUCGCGGCUUAUCAGCUUGUUGGUGGGGUAGUGGCUUACCAAGGCGUUGACGGGUAGCCGGCCUGAGAGGGUGACCGGCCACAUUGGGACUGAGAUACGGCCCAGACUCCUACGGGAGGCAGCAGUGGGGAAUAUUGCACAAUGGGCGGAAGCCUGAUGCAGCAACGCCGCGUGCGGGAUGACGGCCUUCGGGUUGUAAACCGCUUUCGCCUGUGACGAAGCGUGAGUGACGGUAAUGGGUAAAGAAGCACCGGCUAACUACGUG
rnacentral:rRNA from 1 species